rnacentral:rRNA from 1 species
AACGAACGCUGGCGGCAUGCCUAACACAUGCAAGUCGAACGAGACCUUCGGGUCUAGUGGCGCAUGGGUGCGUAACGCGUGGGAACCUGCCCUUAGGUUCGGCAUAACUCCCCGAAAGGGGUGCUAAUACCGGAUAAUGUCUUCGGACCAAAGAUUUAUCGCCUUUGGAUGGGCCCGCGUUGGAUUAGCUUGUUGGUAGGGUAAAAGCCUACCAAGGCGACGAUCCAUAGCUGGUCUGAGAGGAUGAUCAGCCACACUGGGACUGAGACACGGCCCAGACUCCUACGGGAGGCAGCAGUGGGGAAUAUUGGACAAUGGGCGAAAGCCUGAUCCAGCAAUGCCGCGUGAGUGAUGAAGGCCUUAGGGUUGUAAAGCUCUUUUACCCGGGAUGAUAAUGACAGUACCGGGAGAAUAAGCUCCGGCUAACUCCGUG